GACAGAGGGUGCAAACGUUGUUCGGAUUUACUGGGCGUAAAGCGCGUGUAGGCUGCUUCGCAAGUCGGAUGUGAAAGCCCUGGGCUCAACCCAGGAAGUGCAUUCGAAACUGCAGAGCUGGAGUCCUGGAGAGGAAGGCGGAAUUCUCGGUGUAGAGGUGAAAUUCGUAGAUAUCGAGAGGAACACCGGUGGCGAAGGCGGCCUUCUGGACAGUGACUGACGCUGAGACGCGAAAGCGUGGGGAGCAAACAGG
rnacentral:rRNA from 1 species